CGAAGGCGGCCUUCUGGACAGUACUGACGCUGAGAUGCGAAAGCGUGGGGAGCAAACAGGAUUAGAUACCCUGGUAGUCACGCUGUAAACGAUGUCGAUUUGGAGUUUGUUGCCUAGAGUGAUGGGCUCCGAAGCUAACGCGAUAAAUCGACCGCCUGGGGAGUACGGCCGCAAGGUUAAAACUCAAAUGAAUUGACGGGGGCCCGCACAAGCGGUGGAGCAUGUGGUUUAAUUCGAUGCAACGCGAAGAACCUUACCUGGUCUUGACAUCCAUAGGAUUCUGCAGAGAUGUGGGAGUGCCUUCGGGAACUAUGAGACAGGUGCUGCAUGGCUGUCGUCAGCUCGUGUUGUGAAAUGUUGGGUUAAGUCCCGCAACGAGCGCAACCCUUAUUCUUUGUUGCCAGCGAUUUGGUCGGGAACUCAAAGGAGACUGCCGUUGAUAAAGCGGAGGAAGGUGGGGACGACGUCAAGUCAUCAUGGCCCUUACGACCAGGGCUACACACGUGCUACAAUGGCGUAUACAAAGGGAAGCGAAGGUGCGAGCUGGAGCGGAUCUCAUAAAGUACGUCUAAGUUCGGAUUGGAGUCUGCAACUCGACUCCAUGAAGUCGGAAUCGCUAGUAAUCGUAGAUCAGAAUGCUACGGUGAAUACGUUCCCGGGCCUUGUACACACCGCCCGUCAUACCAUGGGAGUGGGUUGCACCAGAAGUAGAUAGCUUAACCGCGAGGGGGGCGUUUACCACGGUGUGAUUCAUGACUGGGGUGAAGUCGUAACAAGGUAACCA
rnacentral:rRNA from 1 species